rnacentral:rRNA from 1 species
AGCAGUAGCCGCGGUAAUACGUAGGUCCCGAGCGUUGUCCGGACUUAUUGGGCGUAAAGCGAGCGCAGGCGGUUAGAUAAGUCUGAAGUUAAAGGCUGCGGCUUAACCAUAGUACGCUUUGGAAACUGUUUAACUUGAGUGCAAGAGGGGAGAGUGGAAUUCCAUGUGUAGCGGUGAAAUGCGUAGAUAUAUGGAGGAACACCGGUGGCGAAAGCGGCUCUCUGGCUUGUAACUGACGCUGAGGCUCGAAAGCGUGGGGAGCAAACAGGAUUAGAUACCCGUGUAGUCCCUGUCUCUUAUACA